UUGGAGGGCAAGUCUGGUGCCAGCAGCCGCGGUAAUUCCAGCUCCAAUAGCGUAUAUUAAAGUUGUUGCAGUUAAAAAGCUCGUAGUUGAAUUUCGGGAUCAAUAUGUUGGUCGUGCCUUGGUACGUACUAAUUUAUUGGUUUCUUCCUUCUGACGAACCAUGAUGUCAUUAAUUUGGUGUCUUGGGGAAUCAGGACUGUUACUUUGAAAAAAUUAGAGUGUUUAAAGCAGGCUCACGCUUGAAUACAUUAGCAUGGAAUAAUGAAAUAGGACGUUUGAUUCUAUUUUGUUGGUUUCUAGGAUUGACGUAAUGAUUAAUAGGGAUAGUUGGGGGCAUUAGUAUUCAAUUGUCAGAGGUGAAAUUCUUGGAUUUAUUGAAGACUAACUACUGCGAAAGCAUUUGCCAAGGAUGUUUUCAUUAAUCAAGAACGAAAGUUAGGGGAUCGAAGACGAUCAGAUACCGUCGUAGUCUUAACCAUAAACUAUGCCGACUAGGGAUCGGAUGAUGUUAAUUUUUUAAUGACUCAUUCGGCGCCUUACGGGAAAC
rnacentral:rRNA from 1 species